rnacentral:tRNA from 1 species
GCGGGCGUGGCGGAAUGGUAGACGCCGGGGACUUAAAAUCCCCUGUCUUUUAAGGCGUGCGGGUUCGAGUCCCGCCGCCCGCA